ensembl:lncRNA PM20D1-AS1 PM20D1 antisense RNA 1
GGGGAAACGCAGUAGGAGGAGUGACGGGAACCGGGAGCCGGCUCCAUGCGCCUGGAGCGCGCGGGUCCCAGCGCCCAUCGGCCCGGGGUCCGAGGGGCCCGCUGCCCGGGCUCGCUGCGUGGUGCUACCGCCCCCGGGCCCGCUGCGCCGCGUCGGAGCCCCAGCAGACUUUGAGAGGCGUGUGCGACAGUGCGCGUCCUCUCCUGCCUCUGGAUGUUUCCUUGGAGCCUCUGGCCUUCGGGAAGACCGGUGCCAUCCAGAUUCCAACAGUGACUUUUAGCUCUGAGAAGUCCAAUACUACAGCCCUGGCUGAGUUCGGAAAAUACAUUCAUAAAGCCUGAUGGCCUGGUGUUGGGCCUGAUCACCCCAAAAUUUCAGGCACCCAACGUGGGGCUAUGAAGACCAUGGUAAAGAAAUGCUAGAGUAUAUGGAAAUGAAGGACAUAUCAUCAAAGGACACCCGAGGAUGGCUGAAAGAAGCUUGGUGGGUAAGCUGGGCACUCUGAAGAACCAAGGUAACAAUCAGGCACCUGUGUGGGUGCCCACCAAACAUCUGGAGAUCUAUCAUGAGCCACACCAGGAAGAGAGGGCUCUGGGAAGAGCCAGAGCUCCUGAUAUGAGUGAUGGUACAAAUGAACAUCUCAGAGACAAAGGAGAAGACCAAUGGAGUCUGUAGAUGCGGAAGCCACCUCUGGAGAGAAAGCCACCACUGAGAGCAAGCAAUGAUAGCUGUGGCGGUUUUGCAAAAAAGAAAAGGGAGACAAGCGCCCAGCUAUAGUUACCAAUAAAGCAUGCACUUCCAGCACUAUGUUGACUACAAAUGGUGAAGUGCCACUGGGUUAGAGUCUCCCCGACCAAGCUGGUCUCAGCAAGUGGUCUCCAUCAUGGGGGCUCGAAUCCAGGUUGAAGGGUCACCAGAGUGAUGGUUGGAGAACAUGGAACUAGCUGGAGGACACCUGAGUACUCUUAAAGCAAACCCCGUGGCCAAAAUCAAUAACCAAUUUGGAUACCAUCAAGACACCUGAAACCUUAUCAUGAGCCAGAUGCUGAGGAAGAGAUUCCAGGAGGAUCCUGAGGACCCCCUGGUUGCAGCCACGUCGAGGCUGACACUGAGGAGGACCCCAACUGUCAUGAGCAACACCCGUCGAACACAGCCAUCCACCUGGGGACAAAUCAAGAAGCUGUCACAGAUGAUGGAAGAAAACCUGAGGAAAGCGGGACAACCAAUCACAAUGAGUAAUUUGGUGAUCUAUCACAGUGAUGAUCACCAUUGCCAUGAGUAUUCCUUCAACAAGGGCUGACACAGAGAACAAUUAUACUUAUUGGGCAUAUUUAUCAAUCUUGUCUGGCAAUAAUGCCUAGAUGAUUUCACUCUAUGGCACAGUUACACAUGCUUUCUGAUCUCAGUAUUUACCAUAAUAAAUCUGCUCCUAUAAUUGAGGCAUACCACCCUCAAAAACCUAUUUGUAAACAAAAUAGAACCUGGCCAGAAAUAAUGAACAACUUGUUUAGUAAGAUUGCAUUGCAGAACAGGCAGAGAUGCUACGCAAUGAUUCCUAUGGGAUCAUUGAUUGGUCCCCUAAGGGGAUGUUUAGCUUAAAUUGCACCUCUCAGUCUGCAUGCCAUGGCCACACUAGUUCAGAUGGUCUGAACAAAGUGGUCAGAUGGCAGAAAUGAUAAGAAGUAUGGCAAAAGUUCCUAUUGUCUGGAACCAUGGCAGUAUAGUGUCACCUCAACCUCAAAUGAUAUGGCUCAUUGUAGGAGCUA